ACGCCUCGGUGGCAGCCCUACCUCUCCCAUAACUCUGUUUUCUUCUUAGAUCGGUUUCGGCAGCGCUUGGCGAAGCCCUACCGGCACUACUCCACCAUGUCGUCGUGUUGGUUGAGAUCCCAUCUACUUCUCCUUCCUCUCUUGCUGGAUCAAGAAGGAGGAGACGUUAUCGAGCCGUACGUGUGCGGAGCGCGGAGGUGUCGUCCGUUCAGCGCUAGAUCGGGAAGGAUCGUGAUGAGAUCGUGGGACGGAUCGUGAUGAGAUCACGGAAUGGGCUGCGAUUUGGAUCGCGGAGAUGUUCCACUACAUCAACUAUGUUAUAUACGCUUUUGCUUAGCAAUCUACAAGGGUAUGUAGAUGCACUCUCCCCUCUCGUAGAUGGUCAUCACCAUGGAUAGAUCUUGUGUGCGCGUAGGAACAUUUUUGUUUCCCAUGCGACACUCUCCAACAGUGGCAUUAUGAGUUAGGUCUAUGCGUAGAUGACAUCUCAAGUAGAACACAAAGUAGUUUGUGGGCGUUGAUGUUCAAUUUGCUGCCCUCCUUAGUCUUUUCUUGAUUCGACGGUAUUGUUGAAUUGAAGCGGCCCGAACCAACAUUACUCGUACGCUUACGGGAG
rnacentral:lncRNA from 1 species